UCUCCGUAGGUGAACCUGCGGAGGGAUCAUUACUGAGUGAGGGCCUCCCCGGCCCGACCUCCAACCCUUUGUGAACACAACUUGUUGCUUCGGGGGCGACCCUGCCGUUUCGACGGCGAGCGCCCCCGGGGUCAAUCAAACACUGCAUUCUCUGCGUCGGAGUUUAAGUAAAUUAAACAAAACUUUCAACAACGGAUCUCUUGGUUCUGGCAUCGAUGAAGAACGCAGC
rnacentral:misc_RNA from 1 species